rnacentral:rRNA from 2 species
UUAUCUGGAGGGUUUGAUCCUGGCUCAGGAUGAACGCUGGCGGCGUGCUUAACACAUGCAAGUCGAACGAGAAUCUUUCUAAACAAAGCUUCGGCCGAGUUUAGAGAGAAGAAAGUGGCAAACGGGUGAGUAUAACACAGAUAACCUCCCCUUUGGCGAGGGACAACCCACCGAAAGGCGGGCUAAUACCUCAUGGUAAUAAGUUCUUACGAAGAGAAUUUAUUUAAAGGCUUCGGCCACCAAAGGUUGGGUCUGUGCCCUAUCAGCUUGUUGGUGAGGUAAUGGCUCACCAAGGCUUAGACGGGUAGCCGGGCUAAAAGGUUGGCCGGCCACACUGGAACUGCGACACGGUCCAGACUCCUACGGGAGGCAGCAGUGGGGAAUAUUGCACAAUGGAGGAAACUCUGAUGCAGCGACGCCGCGUGAAGGAUGAAGGCUUUCGAGUCGUAAACUUCUUUUAAGGAAAAGAAAGGCCGCCGUAAGGCGGUUUGAUCUAUCCUAGAAUAAGCAGUGGCUAAUUACGUGCCAGCAGCCGCGGUAAUACGUGAACUGCGAGCGUUAUCCGGAAUUAUUAGGCGUAAAGGGAGCGUAGGCGUUUUACUAAGUUCCUGGUGAAAUCUUCGGGCUUAACCCGAAAAUUGCUGGGAAAACUGGUAAAAUUGAGUUAAAGAGGGGAGAGUGGAAUUCCUGGUGGAGCGGUGAAAUGUGUAGAUAUCAGGAAGAAUACCAAUGGCGAAGGCAACUCUCUGGCUUUAAACUGACGCUGAAUCUCGAAAGCGUGGGUAUCGAACGGGAUUAGAGACCCCGGUAGUCCACGCCCUAAACGAUGAAUACUAGAUAUCGGCGGUAACCAAUCCGUCGGUGUCACAGCUAACGCGUUAAGUAUUCCGCCUGGGGACUACGGCCGCAAGGCUAAAACUCAAAGGAAUUGACGGGGACCCGCACAAGCGGUGGAGCAUGUGGUUCAAUUCGAUGCAACGCGAAGAACCUUACCUGGGCUUGACAUGCUAGUGCUACCGGUGGAAACACCGGGUUUUGGGGUAACCCGAACGCUAGUACAGGUGCUGCAUGGUUGUCGUCAGCUCGUGCCGUGAGGUGUUGGCUUAAGUGCCCUAACGAGCGCAACCCCCGCCUUUAGUUACUGUAUGCUCUUCGGAGUAUGCUCACUGAAGGGACUGCCCGAUAAGGGAGGAAGGAGGGGAUGACGUCAAAUCAUCAUGGCCCUUAUGUCCAGGGCGACACACGUGCUACAAUGGCCAUCAUAACGAGUUUGCGAUACCGCAAGGUGGAGCCAAUCUCUUAAAAAUGGCCUAAGUUCGGAUUGGAGGCUGCAACUCGCCUCCAUGAAGUUGGAAUCGCUAGUAAUCGCGCAUCAGCCAUGGCGCGGUGAAUACGUUCCCGGGUCUUGUACACACCGCCCGUCACACCAUGAAAGUCUGUUGUAAUGGAAACGGCUACUUGCUAGCCGUUAAAUUACGACCGGUAAUUGGGGUGAAGUCGUAACAAGGUAGCCGUACGGGAACGUGCGGCUGGAUCACCUCCUUUA